rnacentral:rRNA from 1 species
CCUACGGGAGGCUGCAGUGAGGAAUAUUGGUCAAUGGGCGUAAGCCUGAACCAGCCAAGUCGCGUGAGGGAUGAAGGUUCUAUGGAUUGUAAACCUCUUUUAUAAGGGAAUAAAGUGUGGGACGUGUCCUCUUUUGUAUGUACCCUAUGAAUAAGGCACGGCUAACCCCGUGCCAGCAGCCUCGGUAAUACGGGGGAUCCGAGCGGUAUUCGGAUUUAUUGGGUUUAAAGGGUGCGUAGGCAGCCUUUUAAGUCAGCGGUGAAAGUCUGUGGCUCAACCAUAGAAUUGCCGUUGAAACUGGGGGGCUUGAGUGUGUUGGAGGCAGGCGGAAUGCGUGGUGUAGCGGUGAAAUGCUUAGAUAUCACGCAGAACCCCGAUUGCGAAGGCAGCCUGCCAAGCCAUGACUGACGCUGAUGCACGAAAGCGUGGGGAUCAAACAGGAUUAGAUACCCCAGUAGUC